GGUUCCAUAGUGUAGCGGUUAGCACGUCUGCUUUCCACACAGAAGGUCCAGUGGAGCCA
rnacentral:tRNA from 1 species